rnacentral:lncRNA from 1 species
GUAGAACUAAUCCUGAUUCUACCGCCAGAACCAGGUGGAAUAGUGCGGACUAUGCAAGAGGAAGCUGCACAUCACACAAUGCAUUAGGAACUGGAAUCAUAAAUAGAUACAAAAAGAAACACUAGAAACUAUAAGGAAUUAGGAAGUGACAGAAGUCAAAAAAAACUAUCACACUAUUUAAGUGUAACUAACCGUAGAACUAAUCCUGAUUCUACCGCCAGAACCAGGUGGAAUAGUGCGGACUAUGCAAGCCAGCAAUGCUUUUUCAUCCAGGAGAUUAACCUCUCCUGGUCUAACAGUGUAUGCAUUUUUUUGUCCCCCAGCAACAUAUGUUUCAGUUAAUACAGCACCUGACAUGGUAUCCGUCGCUACAGUGUAUGCAUUCUUCUGUCCCCCAG